UGGGGAAUAUUGGACAAUGGGCGAAAGCCUGAUCCAGCCAUGCCGCGUGUGUGAAGAAGGUCUUCGGAUUGUAAAGCACUUUAAGUUGGGAGGAAGGGCAGUAAGCGAAUACCUUGCUGUUUUGACGUUACCGACAGAAUAAGCACCUGCUAACUCUGUGCCCGCAGCCGCGGUAAUACAGAGGGUGCAAGCGUUAAUCGGAAUUACUGGGCGUAAAGCGCGCGUAGGUGGUUCGUUAAGUUGAAUGUGAAAGCCCCGGGCUCAACCUGGGAACUGCAUCCAAAACUGGCGAGCUGGAGUAGGGCAGAGGGUGGUGGAAUUUCCUGUGUAGCGGUGAAAUGCGUAGAUAUAGGAAGGAACACCAGUGGCGAAGGCGACCACCUGGGCUCAUACUGACACUGAGGUGCGAAAGCGUGGGGAGCAAACAGG
rnacentral:rRNA from 1 species